rnacentral:lncRNA from 1 species
CGUCGCUGCGUGGCCGCGGUUGCGCCGGGAGCGGAGGAGUGAGGUCCUGACAGAACCAGAGCUGUUAGAGCAGGGACGCGCGAAAGGCGGGAGUACGGGCGGCGCUGGAGAACCUCCGCGGCGGAGGGGCCUGGGGGUGGGACCGCGCCCGCGAGCCCGCCCUGACCGGGGUGUCUGUGUGCUUGUGAAGCGCUCCCUUGUUAGUUCCUUCUGUGAGACUCGGGGGAGACUGAAGAGGGAAAUCACCUGCGGGGAAUGAACAGGAAAGCAAUAAGAAGAUUUGGAAAAGAGGCACUGGCUACUGGAGGAAGGGAGAAAUCACCGAGAGAGCGAAAGAUGUAACAGAUGCAGUGACUCAUGCCUAUAAUCCCAGUACUUUGGAAGGUCAAGGCACAAGGAUCCAUUGAGGCCAGGAGUCCAAGACCAGCCUGCACAAUGUAGCAAGACUCCUUCUCUACAAAAAAAUAAAUAAAAAUUAGCCAGGCAUGGUGGUGCACUCCUGUAGUCCCAGCUACUCAAGAGGCUGAUGUAGAGAAUCGCAUUAUCCCAGAGGUCAAGGCUGCAGUGAGCCGUGAUCAUGCCUCUGCACUCCAGCCUGGACGAUAGAGCAAGACUUUAUCUCAAAAAACAAAAAUUUAAAAAGAUAUCAGGUAGCUCAUAGAAUUGUUGAGAGGGCUGUAAAACCAGGCUUGAACUUAAACAGCAACGAUAAACCACCCACAGAACGGACAUGAUGAAGAAGUUGGCAAAUGUUACCAACUGUCCUGGUUUUUUUGGUGACUGUAGUUUCCAAGGAUUCAGAUCCUUCCAUGCCAAAAUCUGAAAAAUGCUGGGCAAAGUAUGACUGACAAUGUGGUAAUCUUACAGCUAGCACUAGAGACAUCAAGCACUAGACAACACAAUUUGCCCUUUGGCCACUUAUACAAUGGGAACUCACGCUUGCAGUAACCUCUAUUGCCACUAGGAGAGAGAAACACAGAAGGAGGAAGGGAGAAGGGAGAGAGAGGAAAAAAACUGUUGCUUGUCUCCUUAGCUGUGAGUCAAAGGUCUAACACAGAUGUCUGGCUGAAAAGCCUAGGUCACAUGCCUGCACCCCAGAGAAAGUAUGUGACAUCUUCUGCUUCCAUUAUGGGAAACAGCCUUUGCUUGUCACGAAGAUUUACAUGGUGAGACAUAUCCUAAAUAUAGGGAAGCUGUUGAAGUGGCCCAAAUAAUGACCAAUUUCUACUAAUUUGUACUAAUAUCCAAAUUACUUUUAAUUAUCUAAUAUUACUUAGAUACAGUGAGGCAACCAUUCGUUGGAUAUAUAAUGGUUUCUUUGAUUUCAAAAAUCUUUUUUUAUGUAAUAUAUGUCUGAAGACCAUCAAAAUAAAUUCUUAAAGUCAGAUUAAUAGGAUGUUACUUAUAAUAUUAUUGUAAUUAUUUGACCACAUAAUAGUUUAUGCCCAUUAUAUACUAUGUAAUUGUAUGAUGGAAAUAAUGCUGUACUUUGUUUGUAAAAGUUUAAUUAUCCUGACCUUUGUUCAUCAUAAAGAAUUGCUCCAUUUCUAUUAUUUAUCGAGGAAAAAAGUUUCUCUCUUUUUGUUUUUAAUAUGUCAUUAGGAGAAGAGUAGUUACACGUAGGCUAGAGUGUUUGCCAAGAAGAAAUUGAUUUUAAUGGGAACCUUUUAUCUAAGACAAACUUUAAGAAGAGCAGUAAUGGACAAUGUGUUCUGUGCAACUCUUCAGCCUUCAGUCUCACAUUCAUUGUGGUCAAGUAUUUUCAGCAAAGAAUAACAAGUCAGAGUUUGUGUAUAUUUUUCAUAGCUGUUCAUUCUCUUACAGAGUAACCUUGAACAAACCUCUUAAGAUUUGUGUUUUAUCUUCAUAUACUGAAAUACAAAAUGGGAAUGCCUAUAUUUAAUCAAAGAUAUAAUUUUUACUGAUAGAUAGUAAAGAACAAAACACUGGAACAAGAAUUCCUGUCCUGCCUUUCACAAUGUGGUUUUGAGGCCUUGGCCAUGUCACUUAAAUUCUCAUAUCUGUUUUCUCAAUCUAUAAAUGAUCAUAAUACCUGCACUAUCUGUCUCAAAUUGCAUAUGUGAAAGCAUCUUAAAGGUACAAAACAAUAAAUACAAAGCAUUAUUAUUAAAUUAUUACACCUUCCAGCAUUUAAUGCUAAAAAUGCCAAAUGCGUCCUUUGGUUAUAUGUAGGAAAUAUGUCUCAGAAAAAUCAAUUUAAAAUUAUAGAAGCUAACAGGUAAGUCAUUUUAAGUGUGUGGUUAUCUUCUGCAUGGCAGAUUUUUAAAUGGUAAUUAUUAAUGAAGUUUUCCUAUACUUACUGUUUCCAAGACUCCAUUCUUUCCAAAGUUUUCUGAGUUAUGCUUAUCAUCCCUUAAGUCUUAGGGAUGCUCUUCUGAGCUUUUGGGGUUUGUUUAAUUGAUAUGUCAUAGUUGUACAUAUUUUAGGAGUUCUUGUGAUAUUUUGAUACAUGUAUAUAAUGAGUAAUGAUAAAAUCAGAGUAAUUGGGAUAUCCAUCACUUCCAACAUUUGUCUUUGUGUUGGGAACAUUAAAAUUCUUCUCUUCUAGUUAUUUUGACAUAUGCAGUGAAUUAUUAUUAACUAUAAUUUCCCUACAGUACUAUCAGAUACUAAGACUUAUUUCUUCCAUCUAGCUAUAUUUUUGUACCCAUUAACCAACCUCCCUUCCUUCCCUCCCCAGUCUCUGGUAAUCACUAUUCUACUCUCUACUGAGAUUUUUUUAAACCUAAGAUAUCAAAAAUAAGCUUCCAUACAGGAGACAACAAUUAACACAGCAAAUAGAAAGUAGAAUUGUUCUAUGUAAAAUAAUUACACCCUCUUAGAGGCAUAGAAUAUGACUCUAUUUAUAAGAGGGAACAAAUGAAGAGGAGAAGAAUGUGUUGAAAGAGAUUUCCUUGACAAAUACAUCGUAUCUACUUUGUGAAAUUACCAAGUGCCUAAGGACUAGUAAAGUACUCAAAUAGCCCCUAUAAAGAGGCUUCUU